rnacentral:rRNA from 1 species
AGAGAACUGCUAUCAGGGUCCGGCUAAGCCAUGCGAGUCGAGAGGUGUAAGACCUCGGCGUACUGCUCAGUAACACGUAGCUAAUCUAACCUUAGGUGGGGGAUAACCCCGCAAACGUGGGCUCAAUACCCCAUAGGUGAGGGAGGCUGGAAGGCACCCUUGCCGAAACCUGAGGGGCCUAAGGAUGAGGCUGCGGCCGAUUAGCCUGUAAUUAGGGUAAAUGCCUAACCAAGCGAUAAUCGGUACGGGUCAUGAGAGUGAUAGCCCGGAGAUGCAUUCUGAGACAUGAAUGCAGGCCUUGCGGGGCGCAGCAGGCGCGAAACCUUCCCAAUACCAGCAAUGGUGAGGGCGGGGACCCUGAGUGAUGUUGGUUUCCAACAUCUUUUGCCAAGUGUAAACAGCUUGGAGAAUAAGUGGUGGGCAAGACGGUUGCCAGCCAUUUUGAAAGUUGAGUUCUAAAAGCGUUUCGCUAUUUUUGUAGAAACUAAAUUACCGUAGAAUCUACAAAUAAUUUAUAGCGGAAUGAAUAGCUUGCUACGCCAGUUAUGAUAUCAAUUUUCAAAACUGGAAGCCGCGGUAAUAACCGCGCCACUAGUGGUUCUCACGAUUAUUGGGUCUAAAGCAUCCGUAGCCGGUUCUGUGAGUCUCUGGUGAAAUCCUGCAGCUGACUGUAGGAAGUGCCAGGGAUACUGCAGGACUAGGGACUGGUCGAGGUGCAGGGUACGUUGGAGGUAGGGGUAAAAUCCUUUGAUCUCCCACGGACCACCUGUGGCGAAGGCGCUGUACUAGGACAGAUUCGACGGUGAGGGAUGAAAGCGUGGGGAGCGAUUGGGAUUAGAUACCCCAGUAGUCCACGCUGUAAACGAUGCCCGCUUGAUGUUGCGGGUCCUAAGAGGACCUGCAGUGUCGUAGCGAAGGUGUUAAGCGGGCCACUUGGGGAGUACGGCCGCAAGGCUGAAACUUAAAGGAAUUGGCGGGGGAGCACUACCAGGGGUGGAGGCUCCGGUUUAAUUGGAUACAACGCCGGGAACCUANCCAGCGAAGACAGCAGGAUGAGGGUCAGUCUGAAGGGCUUACCUGACAAGCUGAGAGGAGCUGCAUGGCCGUCGUCAGCUCGUGGCGUGAGCUGUCCUGUUAAGUCAGGAAACGAGCGAGACCCACGUUGUUAGUUGCUAACGUGCUCUCCGGAGUACGUGCACUCUAGCAAGACCGCUGGUGCUAAACCAGAGGAAGGAGUGGGCGACGGCAGGUCAGUAUGGCCCGAAUUUGCUUGGGAUACACGGGGCCUACAAUGCGUAGGACAAUGGGAUGCAACCCCGUAAGGGGAAGCCAAUCUCUUAAACCUACGCCUAGUUCGGAUUGCGGGCUGCAACCCGCCCGCAUGAAGCCGGAAUCCCUAGUAAGCGAGGGUCAUCAUAGCGGCAAGUGCCAGAUGAUUAACCCGGCCAAAGGCUGAAUACGAACGUUGAAGAAAAAGCUUAGGCUUGACACUGAGUUCUGUAUUCGCUUUGUAGCAGCUCAAUGAUGCGCUUGCUACUGUGAAAUCUCUCGCUGAAUACGUCCCUGCUCCUUGCACACACCGCCCGUCAAGCCAAUUGAAUGGGCCUCUGGUGAGGUUUGCGUUGAGCAACUCGAACCAGAGGUCCGUAAGAGGGGCU